AUACGGAGGAUGCAAGCGUUAUCCGGAUUUAUUGGGUUUAAAGGGUGCGUAGGCGGUUUGCUAAGCGGGAGGUGAAAUGCCGGCGCUCAACGUCGGAAGUGCCUCCCGAACUGGUGGACUGGAAUGACUCUGCCGUGGGAGGAAUGUGUAGUGUAGCGGUGAAAUGCUUAGAGAUUACACAGAACACCGAUUGCGAAGGCAUCUCACGAAGGGUUGAUUGACGCUGAGGCACGAAAGCGUGGGAAUCAGACAGGAUUAGAUACCCUGGUAGUCCACGCAGUAAACGAUGAUGGCUAACCGCUGGUUUAUUCGGAUCAGUGGCCAAGCGAAAGCGAUAAGCCAUCCACCUGGGGAGUACGACCGCAAGGUUGAAACGCAAAUGAAUUGGCGGGG
rnacentral:rRNA from 1 species